GAUUUCUGGACUGAAGCAUUUAGCCGGCCGCGGUUUCGCGUGUUAGUGCUGGAUGCUCUGUCCAUCCUUCCAAUCGCUAUUGGCUAUUCUUCAUUGAAUGGUCAGUAGUAUUGGAUCUUUUACUUUGAAAAAAUUAGAGUGUUUCAAGCAGGCUUUAUGCUAUGAAUACAUUAGCAUGGAAUAAUAAUUUAGGACUUCGGUUCUAUUUUGUUGGUUUCUAGGACUGAAGUAAUGAUUGAUAGGGAUGGUUGGGGGUGCUAGUAUUAAAUGGCCAGAGGUGAAAUUCUUGGAUUCAUUUAAGACUAACUAAUGCGAAAGCAUU
rnacentral:rRNA from 1 species